UACAGAGGGGGCGAGCGUUGUUCGGAAUUACUGGGCGUAAAGGGCGCGUAGGCGGCCUGCUAAGUCAUACGUGAAAUCCCUCGGCCCAACCGAGGAACUGCGUCUGAUACUGGUUGGCUUGAAUUCGGGAGAGGGAUGCGGAAUUCCAGGUGUAGCGGUGAAAUGCGUAGAUAUCUGGAGGAACACCGGUGGCGAAGGCGGCAUCCUGGACCGGUAUUGACGCUGAUGCGCGAAAGCCAGGGGAGCAAACGGG
rnacentral:rRNA from 1 species